rnacentral:pre_miRNA from 1 species
GGGGGUCCCCGGUGCUCGGAUCUCGAGAGUGCUUAUUGUUCGGUCCGAGCCUGGGUCUCCCUCUU